rnacentral:piRNA from 1 species
UAUUUAUGGGCAGUGUAGAGUGUGCU